UACGUAGGGUGCGAGCGUUGCCCGGAUUUAUUGGGCGUAAAGGGCGCGUAGGCGGUGAGAUGCGUCCGUUGUGAAAUCGCCCGGCUCAACUGGGCGGGGUCAGCGGAUACGGUCUCACUCGAGCAAGCUAGGGGGCAAUGGAAUUCCCGGUGUAGUGGUGGAAUGCGUAGAUAUCUGGAGGAACACCGGUGGCGAAGGCGGCAUCCUGGACCGACACUGACGCUGAGGAGCGAAAGCCAGGGGAGCAAACGGG
rnacentral:rRNA from 1 species